rnacentral:rRNA from 2 species
UGGGGAAUAUUGCACAAUGGGCGCAAGCCUGAUGCAGCCAUGCCGCGUGUAUGAAGAAGGCCUUCGGGUUGUAAAGUACUUUCAGCGGGGAGGAAGGGAGUAAAGUUAAUACCUUUGCUCAUUGACGUUACCCGCAGAAGAAGCACCGGCUAACUCCGUGCCAGCAGCCGCGGUAAUACGGAGGGUGCAAGCGUUAAUCGGAAUUACUGGGCGUAAAGCGCACGCAGGCGGUUUGUUUAGUCAGAUGUGAAAUCCCCGGGCUCAACCUGGGAACUGCAUCUGAUACUGGCAAGCUUGAGUCUCGUAGAGGGGGGUAGAAUUCCAGGUGUAGCGGUGAAAUGCGUAGAGAUCUGGAGGAAUACCGGUGGCGAAGGCGGCCCCCUGGACGAAGACUGACGCUCAGGUGCGAAAGCGUGGGGAGCAAACAGG